rnacentral:rRNA from 1 species
UACGGAGGGAGCAAGCGUUGUCCGGAAUCACUGGGCGUAAAGGGCAUGUAGGCGGAUUGUUAAGUCAGGAGUGAAAUGUACCCGCUUAACGGGUAACCUGCUUUUGAUACUGGCGGUCUUGAGUUCUGGAGAGGUGAGCGGAAUUCCAGGUGUAGCGGUGAAAUGUGUAGAUAUCUGGAAGAACACCGGUGGCGAAGGCUGCUCUCUGGCCAGAGACUGACGCUAAAAUGCGAAAGCGUGGGGAGCGAACAGGAUUAGAUACCCCCGUA